UGGGGAAUUUUGGACAAUGGGCGAAAGCCUGAUCCAGCAAUGCCGCGUGUGUGAAGAAGGCCUUCGGGUUGUAAAGCACUUUUGUCCGGAAAGAAAUCCUUGGCUCUAAUACAGUCGGGGGAUGACGGUACCGGAAGAAUAAGCACCGGCUAACUACGUGCCAGCAGCCGCGGUAAUACGUAGGGUGCAAGCGUUAAUCGGAAUUACUGGGCGUAAAGCGUGCGCAGGCGGUUUGCUAAGACCGAUGUGAAAUCCCCGGGCUCAACCUGGGAACUGCAUUGGUGACUGGCAGGCUAGAGUAUGGCAGAGGGGGGUAGAAUUCCACGUGUAGCAGUGAAAUGCGUAGAGAUGUGGAGGAAUACCGAUGGCGAAGGCAGCCCCCUGGGCCAAAUACUGACGCUCAUGCACGAAAGCGUGGGGAGCAAACAGGAUUAGAUACCCUGGUAGUCCACGCCCUAAACGAUGUCAACUAGUUGUUGGGGAUUCAUUUCCUAGUAACGUAGCUAACGCGUGAAGUUGACCGCCUGGGGAGUACGGUCGCAAGAUUAAAACUCAAAGGAAUUGACGGGGUCAUA
rnacentral:rRNA from 1 species